rnacentral:rRNA from 1 species
CCUACGGGAGGCAGCAGUAGGGAAUAUUGCUCAAUGUGGGAAACCCUGAAGCAGCAACGCCGCGUGGAGGAUGAAGGUUUUCGGAUUGUAAACUCCUUUUGUUAGAGACGAUAAUGACGGUAUUUACUGAUUAAUCCCCGGCUAACUUCGUCCCAGCAGCCGCGGCAAUACGGAGGGUGCAAGCGUCACUCGGAAUCACUGGGCGUAAUGAGCGCGUAGGCGGGAAAGCAAGUCAGAUGUGAAAUCCUAUGGCUUAACCAUCGACCUGCAUUUGAAACUGUUAUUCUAGAGUAUGGGAGAGGUAGAUGGAAUUCUUGGUGUAGGGGUGAAAUCCGUAGAGAUCAAGAGGAAUACUCGUUGCGAAGGCGGCCUGCUAGAACGUAACUGACGCUGAUGCGCGAAAGCGUGGGGAGCAAACAGGAUUAGAUACCCGGGUAGUC